AGCAGCUGGUUCACUCCCCAAAUGGCCGGAAAGGCCCCAGGUGGGCUGGCCCAAAGCUGGGAAGCAGGGGCUUCUUCCGGGUCUCCUACCUAGGUACAGGAGCCGAAGAACCUGGGCCAUCUGCUACUGCUUUCUCAGAACCCAGAGAAGGAACGGCAUUCUGCAACCUGAGAGUUAAAAGAGGGAAUGACAUGAGAACCAAGGAGAAACCUAUUCUGAACCCCAGAGACCCAGAUCACGCGGCACAGCUGUGGGCUAAUUAUCAAAAGAUGUGUCUGAGGCUGUGUUGGCGCAGAGGGUGUUGAGUGCCAUGUCAGAGAUGGAAAGCAGAACAGUUUGGCCCAUGCUCCUGGACAAGCUUUGACAGCAAGUGUUUGGGUGAGUUGCUGAAUUAAGGUGGACUUUGUUAGCCAAAGAGAUCUUGGAAAGACGUCCUCAACUUUGGAGCAACAAAACCAAGAACUUUUCAGAACUAUCAAAACCAGCCAAGCAAUACCUCAGAACAUUCUCCACAUUGGGGUUUCUAAGAUGACAUCAGAUGGCCAUCUCCCACACCCUAAUACUGAUGUGCUUUGGU